rnacentral:rRNA from 1 species
UACGUAGGGUGCAAGCGUUAAUCGGAAUUACUGGGCGUAAAGCGUGCGCAGGCGGUUGUGCAAGACAGAUGUGAAAUCCCCGGGCUCAACCUGGGAACUGCAUUUGUGACUGCACAGCUAGAGUACGGUAGAGGGGGAUGGAAUUCCGCGUGUAGCAGUGAAAUGCGUAGAGAUGUGGAGGAACACCGAUGGCGAAGGCAGCCCCCUGGGCUAACACUGACGCUCAUGCACGAAAGCGUGGGGAGCAAACAGG